GAGUUUGAUCAUGGCUCAGAUUGAACGCUGGCGGUAGGCUUAACACAUGCAAGUCGUGCGAGAAAGUAUCUUCGGAUAUGAGUAGGGCGGCGGACGGGUGAGUAACGCGUAGGAAUCUACCUAGUAGAAGGGGAUAGCCCGAGGAAACUCGGAUUAAUACCGUAUACCUCCUUAGGGAGAAAGAGGGCCUCUCUUGAUGCUCUCGCUAUUAGAUGAGCCUGCGUAAGAUUAGCUUGUUGGUGAGGUAAUGGCUCACCAAGGCUACGAUCUUUAGCUGGUCUGGGAGGACGAUCAGCCACAUUGGGACUGAGACACGGCCCAGACUCCUACGGGAGGCAGCAGUGGGGAAUAUUGGACAAUGGGCGCAAGCCUGAUCCAGCCAUACCGCGUGUGUGAAGAAGGCCCUAGGGUUGUAAAGCACUUUAAGCAGGGAGAAAAAGUUAUAAGUUAAUACCUUAUGACCUUGAUGUUACCUGCAGAAUAAGCACCGGCUAAUUCCGUGCCAGCAGCCGCGGUAAUACGGAAGGUGCAAGCGUUAAUCGGAAUUACUGGGCGUAAAGCGCGCGUAGGUGGUUUGUUAAGUUGGAUGUGAAAGCCCUGGGCUCAACCUAGGAACUGCAUCCAAAACUAACUCACUAGAGUACGAUAGAGGGAGGUAGAAUUCAUAGUGUAGCGGUGGAAUGCGUAGAUAUUAUGAAGAAUACCAGUGGCGAAAGCGGCCUCCUGGAUCUGUACUGACACUAAAGUGCGAAAGCGUGGGUAGCGAACAGGAUUAGAUACCCUGGUAGUCCACGCCGUAAACGAUGACAACUAGCUGUUGGAAGACAACGUCUUUCAGUGGCGCAGCUAACGUUUUAAGUUG
rnacentral:rRNA from 1 species